UUCUAAUGGUUUAACACCAUCCCCCAGGUGCUGUUUUCGUGAUAGUGGGUGAGUUCUCAUGAGAGUUGAUUGUUUAAAAGUGUAUAACACCUCCUCCCUCUCUCUCUUUCUCUUGCUCUGGCCAUGUGAAGAUGCCUGCUCUGGCUUUGCCUUCUGCCAUGAGUAAAAGCUCCCUGAGGUCUCCUCAGCCAUGCUUCCUGUACAGCCUGUGGAACCAGGAGCCUAUUAGAUUUCUUUUCUUUAUAAAUUAUCCGGUCUCAGGUAUUUCUUUAUAGCAGUGUGAGAAUGGACUAAUACAGGGACUGAACUCAAUCAGUAGCCAAAUGCAGGUUUCUUUGAGGAAAGCUGUAAAAUAAAUGAUACCUAGGAGCUAACCAGGAGACAAGGGAGGCAGUAGUAGGUUUGAAGGCCUAGGAGACAUGAAGAGCAUGGUGCAGUGGGGUGACUGACGUUUUGUAUGGUGGGAGAAACAGAGUGGAAUGAGAUUGCAUUAAUUGCUGGAUGAAAGGGAGUCGUCUCUCAAGAGGACUUGAUCUCUGGCCUGUGAACUGCCCCACAUGUUUCUUCUGCACAUCCUGACUCCCAGGCCUGCACAGGGGACUUCUGCACAGGCCUGACUCCCAGGCCUGACAUUUUCUGGUCUGUCUUCGCCAUGGUCUGCUAUCAACUGCAGUUUUGAAUUCUGGUUUCUCUUAUUCUUUGUCUCUAGGUUCAGCAGCCAGAGUCCUAUCCUGUACUUCUCUUCACGUUGCAGACAUCCACGAAAGAGUGAGACUGUUUUCGGUUGGAUUGAAGAGCAAAUGUGUGGAAGGCACCAAGGUUUGUGUGUAAAUGUGGUGAGUGGGGCCAAGGAGAACUUCUGCACUUCUGCCAGGAGGAAUUAGGAGGCUGAGCAAGACAGACCGCCUGGUCAGUGUGGAGGCGUUGAACUGUGCUAUGUGAGACUGAUAACAUUUGGCUCUUGUCUAAUGAGCCCACCUGGCCACACUGGGGAAUUGAAGAAUCUAGUGACUAGAGGGUACCCACGUAUAGGUUAUCCAUAAGAAUUCCCAAAUAUUGAAGAAGCUUAAAAAGUGUGUUAAACAGUCCUUUCUGCCCAGAGAUCAAAGGCAGCUGAAAGAUCUAUAUUGGAUAUCCUGAUCUAUUCUUCAGUCUCAAUGGAUUCAGCUCCCUUGGAAAUGCUUUUUUGUGCAUGAGCAAUCACUUGUAUCUGAGACUUUCUGAGUCAUUGAUUAGUGCGGGUUUGCAUCAUCAGAUACAGCUUGAAACCAAUCUUUAGAAUGUUUCCCAGUCAUCUUUUUGUGAUUUUAUGAUGGCAAGAAUUUACAUUCCUUCCCCGUCCCAUGACUGGUAUGUGUGUUCUAGGAAAAGUUGGCAUUGGUUCUAUCUGGAUGUAUUGAUGCUGCUGUUUUGGGGGAAUAUCCAGUGCCAGAAAAUGCCUGGAACACCCUGAUCCAGUGGGAGGGUGUUAAACCCUAAUGGGUCUAUGCCAUUGUCAAUGUUCAGCAGGCCAGAUGCCUUUGGAGGGAGAAGGUCAGGGGUUUGGACCUUUGGGGUUAACCACCACUCAAUAAUUUCCUACAGUCAAAGACUCACUUCUCUCUACUGAUUACACUCCCACUACCAUUUUGCACUAAAGUACAAGUGCAGAUUAAGUGAGUUAUUCAGUUGGUUGCAACAGCAUACCACUACAGGGGUAGCUGGUCUUCUAAACAGAGCUUGGGAUAUUACUUUACUUACAUUUUUUUUUUUUUUUGAAACAGGGUCUCACUCUGUCACCUAGGCUGCAGUGCAGUGGUACAAUCACAGUUCACUGCAGCCUUGACCUCUUGGGCUCAAGCAAUCUUCCUGCCUUAGCCUCCUGAGUAGCUGGGACUACAGGUGAGCCACCAGCCUGGCUAAUUUUUAAUUUUUUUUUUUUUUGUAGAGACAGGAUCUCACUAUGUUUCCCAAGUUGGUCUUGAACUUCUGGCCUCAAGCAAUUCUCUUGCCUUGGCCUCCCAAAAUUCUGGAAUUAUAGGCAUGAGUCACCAGAAACGGCCCACUUUAUUUACUUCUGUGAUGCCUAUACAUUGUGUUAUCAAUAAAACUUGAGAUUCUGUAACUGAGACUGGUCUCUGUUUUUAAUUAAUUUCUUUUUUUUGUAAUUCCAAGGCUACCACUGAGGUUCAGAUUCUGCAUUUUGGGGCAUCAGAACUAGUUUUUUUUUUUUUAAUUUGAGGAAAUAUGCUAUAUGCUAGCAUAGGGAUGGCAAUGCAGCCUAUGCAUAUGUGUUCAUUGGAGUGUGCACACUUGUGUA
rnacentral:lncRNA from 1 species